rnacentral:lncRNA from 1 species
GGUCAGUUUUAGUUUUAGAAGGAAACACUUAUUAAAUAUAGGUGGGCAUGUUGUUCCCAGAUAAAACCUUUUUUUUUUUUUUUGGCUUAAUGAGGCUGAGUGGUUCAGCCUAGCUGGUUAGAGUAGUUAGGACACAGUCCCUAGUCCUAACACUAUUAACAGAAGUCUCCCAUUGUAGUCUCCCCUCCCCCAGCCUGAAACCUGUUUGCUCUGGGGUGGAGCUUUUUGCUCAUUCGUUCUGCCACGCCCACUGCUGGAACCUGCCGCCUUGCUGUUCCAAAGCCAUCAUGUGCUCACCCUGCUACUGGAUUCCGAGAUUAUUUGGUGGGAAUCGGGUCCCCUCCCCCUUCCUUCAUAACUGAGUGUUGCAACAGUAAAAAUUGAACUUUGAUCAGAGUGACUUUUGACUUGGCUCCGUUCUUUCUUCCGCCCGUCUAGUUCUUCUCUUUCAGCCUGAGUUGCCAUCUCAGUCGAACCGUUCAUUGGGAGCUGCAGGCCGGCCGCAACAGUUUGGCGCCCGAACAGGGACCUGGAGAAUGGCAGAAGGGUGCUGAGAAAACGCUGUUGGUGUGGAGCUCCACAGGAAAGGCAAAAGAUCUUCGUAUCAGACCCCGAAGCAAUGAACAGGUCAAUCAACAUUCUCCAGCCGGACCAGUGGAUGUGCAUCCCCGCCCCCCUAGAGCGCAAUGGUGGCAGCUGCUAUCUUCAUUCCCAGGACAUUCCAGCACGUGGUUUUCAGUCUGAGUUGAAAUUUAGGUUUACCAAGAGGGCUAGAAAAGUAGAUAUUUCUAAUAUUAAUAGAGAUUGGUUUUUAUUUUAAUAGACAGGCUUAGUCCCUUAGCUGGCCUCUGGCUUUUUACCCUUGCUGUUACUGCAAGGUGUCCUUAGUUCCUCAGGCUGUGGAAAUAACAGAGAUGAAGAGGAACGACUCCCAGCUCCUAUUUUAGCCACGAAUCGUGGUGUUACUAAUGACAUAAUUCUUGCCUAGGCCUUGCUAAAUCUGAGGUUGAUAAUUCUCCUUUAGGAGCUGCACAGUACUCAGAACUGUGCAUACUGGUUCGUGAUCAUACGAAUACAGUAUGGGUAUCGCUUGGUGCAAAGAACUACUGCAGGGGAAGGUCCAGCUUAACCAUUUCUGAGUUUCCUGUGGGUUAUACCCGGUUUAAAAAGGAGGUUGGUAUCUAAUUUUGGCUAAAAACCAAAAAUAUCUACGGCUCUGCCUCCCCUCCCCAAAAGAUACCAAGAGCCACAGGUGUGGGUCGUGACAGCACCCACGGGAGAAAUGGGGUCAAUGUCCACCCAAGCCAAGGUUAAAAGCCCACUCAUCUACAGAUGAGAAAAUCAUUUGAUCACCUCAGUUAAGCGUUGCCUUAUUUAACUUAAUUAAUAGGGGGGAGAGAGGUUGGAGACCGUACUGUCUUCACUGCCUCCCACCCCAAAAUAAAAAGCCAAUUGGCCUUCUACUACGGAGCCAGUCGUCACCCCCUUCUCCCUGUUUCCCACCUGUCAUCCAAAAAUGCGGAGGAAUAUCAACUCAGUGUUAUUUUUAAUGAAGUGUAUUUCUAAUUUGUUCAGCCAAACUUAGCCAGGGUUCCAACGCCCUACUUAAAAUUCAACUAGGAAGUUACCUAUUCAGUACUAAUUAGCAUUAUAAAGUCAGAGCCUACAGCUCCAGGCUUUUCUGUUAGUUGUUUACUGGGAUAGAAAGGACAGUCUUAGCCAGAUACAGUUUACCAUAAGAAAAGUUAGGGAAUCCCACGGAGACAGGUUUUUUCUUUAGCCCUAGAAUUCAGGCAAAACUAUUGAGCAUAGAUAAAAAAUUUUUUUUUUGCCUCAGGCCAGCUUUUUCUUUUUUUAAAUUUUUUGUUAACAAAAGGGAGGAGAUGUAGUCUCCCCUCCCCCAGCCUGAAACCUGCUUGCUCUGGGGUGGAGCUUCCUGCUCAUUCAUUCUGUCACGUCCACUGCUGGAACCUGCUGCCUUGCUGUUCCAAAGCCAUCACGUGCUCAACCUGCUACUGGAC